GUGCGUGCGUGUGUGUGUUUUCUCUGGAGCUGACUUGGGUAAUAUAUACGAUAAGGGCACAAAACACAUGCGUUAUUAUUACGCACUUGAUUUAAUGUGCUUCGGGUUCCUGCUGCUUACCGCUAAGAAUGACCGAGUCGGUGUGAGUGAACACCCGAUGGGUCGUCAGUGAACAGUUUAAUGAAGAGUUACUGUAGACAUUCGUUGAAACGCUGCUUUGUUCUGUCGGGAAUUUAAAAGUGUUUCUAUUCAAGUGGCGGUCACGUGCAGGUUUAGGAAUGUUUGCUGCUUUGGCCAGGCGGAAGCAAAACCUUUCAGAGCCUUUAGUGUCAAAAGAUUUAAAGCCUUUCGCCGUGUUCCCACAGCUGCCGUCAAGCUUUAGCUCAUCUCAGUGAAACAUUAAUCCCCCUUCAAUAACAACAAGAAGCUAUAAUGAAAAAAAAAAAAGAAAAAGGUUCAGAUAGACCACAGAGUUAAGAUCACCCCAACCCCAGCAGAUCAGCUGAUCUCAAAGCCAGGCCCAGUCACCUGAAGCACCUCCAAGCCGCUGUGCAACCCACCUUAAUCCCAGCUCCAUCUUUAAACCAGCGCGUGACGUAAUCCCACAUCUCCAGCUCUCCAUCCAUGUGUAAGCGAGGAAGGUCUCAGCACAGAGCCACAGCAGCAAAGAUAAAUGAUUGCAGGAAUAAAAAUUAAAAUUAGUAUUUUGGAUUUAGUGAUCCUCACUUGAAUAGCUGUUUAAGUUUAACCACUUUGUAUUCUGUCAGAGUUGCUAAUCUUAUUUCAAAUUCUCCUUGUGUUUUUAAUGAGUAUAAAUUAAAAAACAAAAACACCUCCUCCAUCUUUAAACUGUUGGGUGGGGGGUCUGCACAGUGUUUGGCUCCAAGUGCUAAUUUAAUCCUUCGAUGCGUGGGAUCUUCCUCAGGCAGUUUGUCAGAGAAGACAGAUUUUCUAAAUGUUCCAAUCGAUGCACGUCUCUGAUACCUGGAACCAGCCUAAAAACACCUGGUCAUGUGCAUACAGGCUUGUCAUUAUACCAGAUUUCCACUUCACGAUUGAUGGCGAUUUUAUUGUUAUAUUCGCAGAAAAUCAGGUGAAAAGCUGCUGCCGAUCAGAUUAAUCUGUAGAUCUGUUUGUGUGUUUUGUGGCAGGAUCUUCAGAUAGCAGAGAGUCUCCAACCAUAACUGUAGGCAAAGAGGAACCACAUUAUUUAUGAUAUUGUUACCAUUAUGUCAAUAUUUAACUUUGUUGGGUUUUUUUGUUUUGUUCUUUUGAUGGUUGUCACCCAUGAGAACCAUGUCACGUAGGCAGGACACUGCAUGCGAAAGCAUUCGUUGUGGAAAUCGUGUGGAUUUCACUCCCAAAGUGAACUGUUGCCGUUCGCUUGGGCGCAGUCUCAGUGAGUUGAUCGUUUCUGAGCAGCAGGAACUACGUGAGCCUGUGCGUUUGUGCCUUUAUCUCAGCUCCCCUGGCUUGCUUUGCUGGUAAAACCUUCGGUCCUUCACUUUCUCUGACGUCUGUUUUAUAACUAAGCAGCAGUGUUUGGAUACUUGAUGAGGUGGUCACAGUAACUGAAUGAAUCCCAUCACCGUCUUAAUUUAUUGAAACGUCUGUCGUGGCACUCGUUGGCAGCAGGUCACGAUGGCAACAUGAAGUGGGAAAACAGACCGGGUUGAAUGUGUUUGUGUUGAAGGUGGGGAAAGGUCCGAUCCUCCUCCCCCUCCGUCAUGUGUCCGCUGCUCCCUCCUCCUGUGGUUUCAUUAGCGGGAAAUGUUUAGGGCGAAGCAGUCUUUAUUGAGCUGGGUUUAUUUCACUCUAACAAACAGGAUGGAUAAGCACAAGGUCGCGGCUUUCUGAGUCCCUCCUCAGCAUCACACACACACAUGUGUGAACAGAGAACAUAUGGAAUAAGGCCACCUUUUUUUUUUUAAAGCAGUAGUUACUCUUAAGUAUGUUUUCAAAAGAACUCCACAGUCAGCCUCGACAAGCAGCUCAACUCUUUGGUUGUCAUGACCUUAAACAAAAGGGAAAAAUCAGCGACGUGUAUAUUAUGUUCGUGUGGAACCCUGAAAACUGAAAGAUUCAGAUCCAGACGUGGGUGUUUGAUGUCCGUUUGUAUGCUUUUGUGCGUCGAUUCAGAGCGAGAGAAUAAAAUAAUUUAUAUAUUUUUUAGAAAAUGGAAGCUGUACUAUUAUUUAAAAAACAAAAACCAACAAAAAAAACAAGGAAAAGAAAAGAAAAAAAAUACGACCGUGGCCAAUAACGAGUUCCACGCUAUGAAAACGAUAUCAAAGUCAGACUCGAGACGACAUCUGCACUCACUGCCUUAAAACAUUCACAGGUUCUGUUUCGUGGCUCCAAUCUGGAAAACAAACAAUAAAGGAGGGAAAGGAGAAGACGGUGUACAGUUAGACCCGUGUCAGUUUGUACAAAUAUACCAAGUGGGAAAAAAAAAAUAUUUAUUACCUGCAUUGGAAGAAAUUGUUUACUUAUUGAAUGUUACUUGUUUAUGUAGAAAAGUUUAGAUGUAAUAAAAUGCAUUCUGCUAUUUC
ensembl:lncRNA